UAGGCGAACGCAUUCGAUAAGAGCAGCGAACGCGCUCCACUUUGUUGUGUUAUUGCUUUCGCAUAACAGCAACACAUAGCAGCAAGCGAUACGAUGUAUGCGGGAGAGACGAGCAAAUUGAAUGUUUAUUGUGCACUGCCGAGGCAGAAGAUGGUGUUUCGUCCAUCGUUAUUUGUUCGUGAUCGAAAGUUGUAAUAUUGUAAUUUGAUAAUUGUUUGAUUUGUAAUAUUAUAUUAAUUGUUUAUUUGUGUUAAAGAUUUCCUGUUUGCCGUUAAUCGUCCGUCUCCCGCACAGUAGGUGUGUUUGUUCCACUACUGUUGCUAACUGUGAGUUUAAGUUUGAAUCGUAUCAGUAUGAACGUUUGUGAUAAUUUGUUCAAUGUAAUUAGCUAAUUAGAUCGCCGCGAGUCCGGAGGUAGAUGUUUGUCUGUUUGUAGCCGGAAGGAAAACUAGAUUAUUUCCUGUUUGCCGUUAAUCGUCCGUCUCCCGCACAGUAGGUGUGUUUGUUCCACUACUGUUGCUAACUCUAAUUAGAUCGCCGCGAGUCCGGAGGUAGAUGUUUGUCUGUUUGUAGCCGGAAGGAAAACUAGAUUGUAAGU